ensembl:lncRNA
ACACAUAUUGUAGCUGAAACAUUAAGGAAAGAGAAUGUAGAGUGGGUGUGAUAGGAGGGGCAGGAAUGGUAGAAAGGGAGAAAAAAAGGAGAGGAAGGGAGUGACAGGGGAAGAGGAAGCGGUGAACGAAAAGGAGGAGGAAGGUGGAAGAAGAGCCUCCCAAGGCAGGGAACGAAGACAAAUCAACCCAGAAAAAGGGCUUCUGGGUUUCAGAUCAUCAUUGGAAAGAAUGACAGAAGUAUUCUCAUCUACAUCACUGCCAUCUUACUGGUGAAGAGUGGGAACAAAGUGAAAGAAACUGUCAGGCUCUUUGUGACCCCAUGGACUAUAGCCCACCAGGCUCCUCUGUCCAUGGGAUUUCCCAGUAAGAAUACUGGAGCGGGUUGCCAUUCCCUUCUCCAGGGGAUCUUCUUGCCCAGGGAUUGAACCUGAGUCUCUCCAAUUGCAAGCAGAUUCUUUACUGUCUGAGCCACCAGGGGAGCCCAAGCUAUAGGUGGUCAAGUUGCUAGACACUAUUAAGCACCUUAAAAUUUUUUUAAAAAUACCUCUCCUAUCUUUUGUGGCCAUUAUUUCUUCCUUAUUUUCCUAACAGUCUUUAGCAACUAUUACAUGCUACUCAGAGGGCAAAGUUUAAAAAUUAAAAGAUAAUUCUAUGAUUUAAAAAAGGAAAGAAAAGACUAAAUUCUCAUUUUUCAAUCCCUAUCAUGAAUGAAAUACAAGAUGUCUCUUUUUAAAAAAGAGGUCAUGCUGUGCAAACCAUUUAUUUACUGGCACAUCAGUGUGUUCCCAUCUGAGUCAAGGUGAAGAUGUAUAUUUUGUGUCACUCAUGUGGUGAGAAGCAGUCCUAGUUGUCCAUUCCUGCUUGUACCAUUGCCAGUAAGGGAUUGCUGGAUAUCAAGCUCACCAUUGAAUGGACCACACCUUGCUUCCCCAAAUGAGAGAGAGGAGAAAUACAAAUUUCUCUCAGUUACUAAAUUCAGUCAUCUCAUAGAGUUAUGUCUGCCUGACUUUGUGUCCCAGCAUAUAUAAACAAUAUUUGCCCUUAAAGGCCCAGUACAGUUACACAUUUCUCUGUGAUGCCUACCUUAAUUUCUCUACCCUGGAUCCAUUAUUUCUGUUUUCUAAAUUCUCUUAGUCCUUUAUACUACUCGUCUCUGAGUAUUUCUAUCUUGUUUUCUGGUUAAGUAGCCAUGAUUUAUUCCUAUUAGAAUGUAAAACUCUUUUCAGUAGGGGAAAGCUGUUUGUUUAAAUCAACUUGGUUAUUUCCUCACAGUGCUUAUUAUGAUGACCUUACUCAUAUGAAUGAGUAAAAACAGAAUUAAACUAAGUUGGAAAGAAAUACAGAAAUUCAAAAUUAGAACUCAAGGAAAUAGAUGGUUUUAUCAUAAGAAAGGAAAAACAAUAAAAUGAUUGAAAAGCUGAUAGCUAACCCGGGU